rnacentral:sRNA from 1 species
CGUUGGCGACAUUGUCGUUUGCCCCCUGCCUGGCCACGGCGCGAACGCUAUCGCCGAGGGCAAUGCAGGGUUCGGCGAUGA